CCAAGCUACUACGGGUUGACGGUGGAUGCCUUGGCGCUAGGUGCCGAUGAAGGACGUGGCAGGCUGCGAUAAGCCUCGGUGAGCCGUCAAGCAGGCGUUGACCCGGGGAUGUCCGAAUGGGGAAACCCGGCUGGGGUCAUGCCCAGUCACUCCGGUCUGAACCCAUAGGGCCGGUAGAGGGAACCGGGGGAAUUGAAACAUCUCAGUACCCCGAGGAAGAGAAAGCAACAGCGAUUCCCUGAGUAGCGGCGAGCGAAACGGGAACAGCCCAAACCGACACGGUGGAAUAGCCCGACGGCGUUGCCGUGUCGGGGUAGUGGGACCCUCCAGACGGCGCGUCGGAGCCGUCGGGGAGUCAGAAAUCCAUGGGAUAGGCGAAUCCUGCUGGAAAGCAGAGCCACAGGGGGUAACAGCCCCGUAGCCGAAAUCCCAUGGACUCCCGGAGGUGUUCCCAAGUAGCACGGGGCCCGUGAAAUCCCGUGUGAAUCUGCGAGGACCACCUCGUAAGGCUAAAUACAACCUAGCGACCGAUAGCGGACCAGUACCGUGAGGGAAAGGUGAAAAGUACCCCGGUGAGGGGAGUGAAACAGUACCUGAAACCGUCAACCUACAAGCAGUAGGAGGGAUCCUUCGGGAUCCUGACUGCCUGCCUUUUGAAGAAUGAGCCGACGAGUCAUCGAUGCGUGGCGAGGUUAAGCCGAGAGGUGGAGCCGCAGCGAAAGCGAGUCUGAAUAGGGCGUCUAGUCGCGUGUCAUGGACCCGAAGCCGAGUGAGCUAUCCAUGGGCAGGGUGAAGCGAGGGUAAGACCUCGUGGAGGCCCGAACCCACCUAGGUUGAAAACUGGGGGGAUGACCUGUGGAUAGGGGUGAAAGGCCAAACAAACUCGGCGAUAGCUGGUUCUCCCCGAAAUAGCUUUAGGGCUAGCGUCGUGUGUUCCGCGUUGGGGGUAGAGCACUGAUUGGGCUAGGGGGCCAACAAGCUUACCGACCCCAGUCAAACUCCGAAUCUCAACGCGCCAAGCACGGCAGUCAGACCAUGUGGGAUAAGCUUCAUGGUCGAGAGGGAAACAGCCCAGACCGCCAGCUAAGGCCCCCAAGUCAGGACUAAGUGGAGAACGAAGUGGAGUUGCCCAGACAGCCAGGAGGUUGGCUUAGAAGCAGCCAUCCUUGAAAGAGUGCGUAACAGCUCACUGGUCGAGUGAUUCCGCGCGGAUGAUGUAACGGGGCUAAGUCCUGCGCCGAAGCUGCGGGAUUCCGUCGACAACCCAGGCCGGCAUCCUCGGAUGUCGGUCCAGGGGACGGGAUCGGUAGGGGAGCGUCGAACGGCCGUCGAAGUCGCGGCGGAAGCCAGCGGUGGAGGCCGUUCGAGUGAGAAUGUCGGCAUGAGUAGCGAAUGAGGAGUGAGAAUCUCCUCCGCCGGAUGUCCAAGGGUUCCUGGGGAAGGCUCGUCCGCCCAGGGUUAGUCGGGACCUAAGGCGAGGCCGAGAGGCGUAGUCGAUGGACAACGGGUUGAUAUUCCCGUACCACCUUGUACGCGCCCAGGCCGAACCCAGCUUGCUAAGGAAAGCCCUUCGGGGCCUACCGACCCAGCUGGUAGUAGGCCAGCGAUGGAGUGACGCGGAAGGGUAGGCGGACCCGGGCGCUGGUCGACCCGGGGUAAGCGUGUAGGGCGGGGCCUAGGCAAAUCCGGGCCCCAUGAACGCCUGAGGCGCGAUGCCGAGCCGCGAGAGGCGAAGCCGCUGAACGCCCAUGCCGCCGAGAAAAGCUUCUAGCGAGUGUGCAAGGUGCCCGUACCCCAAACCGACACAGGUGGACAGGUAGAGAAUACCAAGGCGAGCGAGAGAACUCUGGUUAAGGAACUCGGCAAAAUGGCUCCGUAACUUCGGGAGAAGGAGCGCCCCGGUAGGGUGUAGGACCUCGCGUCCGAAGCCCGAGGGGGCCGCAGAGUCCAGGCCCAAGCGACUGUUUACUAAAAACACAGGAGCGUGCGAAGUCGCAAGACGCUGUAUACGCUCUGACGCCUGCCCGGUGCCGGAAGGUCAAGGGGAUCGGUUAGCUCUUCGGAGCGAAGCUGUGAACCUAAGCCCCGGUAAACGGCGGCGGUAACUAUAACCGUCCUAAGGUAGGCCAUCCACGACGCCACGUGGAUCAUCUGCCCCUCCGCACGGCGACGUGCGUGAGUGCAGUCAGCUAUAUGCUGGGAACUCCGAGUAUCCGUCGGUACUCGUUCGUGUCAUCGGGGAGCGAUAUCGCCGAUGACAUGGGCAGUGACAAUCCGUACGGUGCGGACGAUCAGCAGGAAAGGCCAGGGAUCGAGCAGUGGAUCGUCGGCUUCGUCGACGGUGAGGGUUGCUUCUCGAUAUCGGUGGUGCGGAACGCCACCUGCCGCCUCGGGUGGCAGGUGCAGCACGAGUUCGCGGUCACCCAGGCCGCGACCUCCCGGGCCGCGCUCGAGGUGUUGGGACGGCACUUCGGAUGCGGUCGGAUCAUCGAGAACGUCCGGCGGGACGAACAUCGGCUACCGCUCCUGCGGUACUCGGUGAAGGCACGCCGGGACCUCACCUCACGGAUCAUCCCGUUCUUCGAAGCACAUCCCCUGAUCACCGCGAAGCGGCACGACUUCGAGUCGUUCCGCGAGGUCAUCGAGCUCAUGCAGGCAGGGGAGCACCUCACGAUCGAGGGGCUCGCCCGGAUCGCCGGCAUCACCGAGACGAUGAACCGCCGACAGCGGUCUCGGUUCCUGGAAUCCUCAGAGGCCAUACGCUGACCGUCUCGGUACGACGGCCGAGACGAAGAUAUGGUCCGAGCCCCAUGGCGACAUGGGGAGCAACUCGAGCGAAAUUCCUUGUCGGGUAAGUUCCGACCUGCACGAAUGGCGUAACGACUUGGGCACUGUCUCAACCAGAGACUCGGCGAAAUUGCACUGUGAGUAAAGAUGCUCACUUCCCGCGACAGGACGGAAAGACCCCGGGACCUUUACUGCAGCUUGACAUUGGAGUCUGUCAUGUGAUGUGUAGGAUAGGUGGGAGGCUGUGAAGCGGCGACGCCAGUUGCCGUGGAGCCGUCCUUGAAAUACCACCCUUCACAUGAUGGCCUUCUAACCUCGGUCCGUCAUCCGGAUCAGGGACAGUGUCUGGCGGGCAGUUUCACUGGGGUGGUGGCCUCCUAAAACGUAACGGAGGCGCCCAAAGGUUCCCUCAGCCUGGUCGGCAAUCAGGCGUUGAGUGCAAGGGCACAAGGGAGCUUGACUGCGAGACCCACGAGUCGAGCAGAUGCGAAAGCAGGGCCUAGUGAUCCCUCGGCGGCAUGUGGGUGCGCCGAGGCCAACGGCUAAAAGGUACCCCGGGGAUAACAGGCUCAUCCCGCCCAAGAGUCCAUAUCGACGGCGGGGGUUGGCACCUCGAUGUCGGCUCGUCUCAUCCUGGGGCUGAAGCAGGUCCCAAGGGUCGGGCUGUUCGCCCGUUAAAGAGGCACGCGAGCUGGGUUUAGAACGUCGUGAGACAGUUCGGUCCCUAUCCGUCGCGGGCGCAGGAGAUUUGAGGAGAGCUGUCCCUAGUACGAGAGGACCGGGAUGGACGUACCUCUGGUGUGCCAGUUGUCCUGCCAAGGGCACGGCUGGUUUGCUACGUACGGACCGGAUAAGCGCUGAAAGCAUCUAAGCGCGAAGCCGACUCCAAGAUGAGAUCUCCCACCGGCUUCGGCCGGGUAAGGCCCCUGGUAGAUGACCAGGUCGAUAGGCCGGAAGUGGAAGCGCAGCAAUGCGUGAAGCUGACCGGUACUAAUAGGCCGAGGGCUUGGAUUCG
rnacentral:rRNA from 1 species